rnacentral:rRNA from 1 species
CAGUCGCCGCGGUAAUACGAACCGUGCGAACGUUAUUCGGAAUCACUGGGCUUAAAGCGCGUGUAGGCGGAUGGGAGCGUCGGCCUCUGAAAUCCCCCGGCUCAACCGGGGAAGUGGAGCCGAAACGACCCGUCUGGAGGGACGUAGGGGGACCUGGAACUUCCGGUGGAGCGGUGAAAUGCGUUGAGAUCGGAAGGAACGCCCGUGGCGAAGGCGGCUCACUGGACGACUGUUGACGCUGAGGUGCGAAAGCGUGGGGAGCAAACAAGAUUAGAUACCCGCGUAGUCCCUGUCUCUUAUA